ACGCGCGAAACCUUACCUACCCUUGACAUGCCACUAACGAAGCAGAGAUGCAUUAGGUGCUCGAAAGAGAAAGUGGACACAGGUGCUGCAUGGCUGUCGUCAGCUCGUGUCGUGAGAUGUUGGGUUAAGUCCCCGCAACGAGCGCAACCCUUGUCUCUAGUUGCUACGAAAGGGCACUCUAGAGAGACUGCCGGUGACAAACCGGAGGAAGGUGGGGAUGACGUCAAGUCCUCAUGGCCCUUAUGGGUAG
rnacentral:rRNA from 1 species